UGGGGAAUCUUGCGCAAUGGGGGAAACCCUGACGCAGCGACGCCGCGUGCGGGAUGAAGGCCUUCGGGUUGUAAACCGCUUUCAGCAGGGCCGAGGCCUUAUGGUGACGGUACCUGCAGACGAAGCCCCGGCUCAAUACGUGCCAGCAGCCGCGGUAAUACGUAUGGAGCAAGCGUUAUCCGGAUUCAUUGGGCGUAAGGCGCUCGUAGGCGGUCUGUUAGGUCGGCAAGUUAAAUCCGGGGGCUCAACCCCCGUCCGCUUCCGAUACCGGCAGACUUGAGUUUGGUAGGGGAAGGUGGAAUUCCUAGUGUAGCGGUGGGAUGCACAGAUAUUAGGAAGAACACCGGUGGCGAAGGCGGCCUUCUGGGCCAUAACUGACGCUGAGGAGCGAAAGCUAGGGGAGCGAACAGG
rnacentral:rRNA from 1 species